rnacentral:rRNA from 1 species
UACGGGGGGGGCAAGCGUUGUUCGGAAUUACUGGGCGUAAAGGGCGCGUAGGCGGCCUUCUAAGUCGGACGUGAAAUCCCUCGGCUUAACCGGGGAACUGCGUCUGAUACUGGAUGGCUAGAGGUUGGGAGAGGGAUGCGGAAUUCCAGGUGUAGCGGUGAAAUGCGUAGAUAUCUGGAGGAACACCGGUGGCGAAGGCGGCAUCCUGGACCAAUUCUGACGCUGAGGAGCGAAAGCCAGGGGAGCAAACGGG